GGAAUUUUGGGCAAUGGGGGAAACCCUGACCCAGCAACGCCGCGUGAAGGAUGAAGUAUUUCGGUAUGUAAACUUCGAAAGAAUAGGAAGAAUAAAUGACGGUACUAUUUAUAAGGUCCGGCUAACUACGUGCCAGCAGCCUCGGUAAUACGUAGGGACCAAGCGUUGUUCGGAUUUACUGGGCGUAAAGGGCGCGUAGGCGGCUUGUCAAGUCACUUGUGAAAUCUCCGGGCUUAACCCGGAACGGCCAAGUGAUACUGUCAAGCUAGAGUGCAGAAGGGGCAAUCGGAAUUCUUGGUGUAGCGGUGAAAUGCGUAGAUAUCAAGAGGAACACCUGAGGCGAAGGCGGGUUGCUAGGCUGACACUGACGCUGAGGCGCGAAAGCCAGGGGAGCAAAC
rnacentral:rRNA from 1 species